rnacentral:rRNA from 1 species
GACGAACGCUGGCGGCGUGCUUAACACAUGCAAGUCGAACGGAAAGGCCUCUUUCGGGGGGUACUCGAGUGGCGAACGGGUGAGUAACACGUGAGUAACCUGCCCUUGACUUUGGGAUAACUUCAGGAAACUGGGGCUAAUACCGGAUAGGAGCUCCUGCUGCAUGGUGGGGGUUGGAAAGUUUCGGCGGUUGGGGAUGGACUCGCGGCUUAUCAGCUUGUUGGUGGGGUAGUGGCUUACCAAGGCUUUGACGGGUAGCCGGCCUGAGAGGGUGACCGGCCACAUUGGGACUGAGAUACGGCCCAGACUCCUACGGGAGGCAGCAGUGGGGAAUAUUGCACAAUGGGUGGAAGCCUGAUGCAGCAACGCCGUGUGCGGGAUGACGGCCUUCGGGUUGGAAACCGCUUUCGCUCAUGACGAAGCUUUGUGUGACGGUAGUGGGUAGAGAAGCACCGGCUAACUACGUA